rnacentral:SRP_RNA from 1 species
GCUGGGCAUGGUGGCUCACGCCUGUAAUUCUAGAAGUUAAGGAGGCUGAGGCAGGGGGAUUGCUUGAGCCCAGGAGGUUGAGGCUGCAGUGAGCUAUAAUCACACCACUGCACUCUAGCCUGGGUAACAGAGCAAGACCCUGUCUCAG